rnacentral:rRNA from 1 species
AUCAACGCUGGCGGCGUGCCUCAGACAUGCAAGUCGAACGCGAAAGAAACCUUCGGGUUUCAAGUAGAGCGGCGUCCGGGUGAGUAACACGUAGGUAAUCUACCUUCGGGUGGGGAAUAACGCAGGGAAACUUGCGCUAAUACCGCAUAAUGCAGCGGCACCACAUGGUGACAGUUGUUAAAGCGGGGGAUUUUCGAACCUCGCGCCUGAAGAGGAGCCUGCGGCAGAUUAGCUAGUUGGUAGGGUAACGGCUUACCAAGGCGACGAUCUGUAGCCGGCCUGAGAGGGCGGUCGGCCACACUGACACUGACAUACGGGUCAGACUCCUACGGGAGGCAGCAGUCGGGAAUUUUGGGCAAUGGGCGAAAGCCUGACCCAGCAACGCCGCGUGAAGGAUGAAAUCCCUCGGGAUGUAAACUUCGCAAGAAUAGGAAGAAUGAGCGAGUACUAAUACUGCUCGUGAUGACGGUACUAUUUGUAAGCUCCGGCUAACUCCGUGCCAGCAGCCGCGGUAAUACGGGGGGAGCAAGCGUUGUUCGGAUUUACUGGGCGUAAAGGGCGCGUAGGCGGCCAGCACAAGUCAGUUGUGAAAUCUCCGGGCUUAACUCGGAAAGGUCAACUGAUACUGUGCGGCUAGAGUGCAGAAGGGGCAACUGGAAUUCUCGGUGUAGCGGUGAAAUGCGUAGAUAUCGAGAGGAACACCUGCGGCGAAGGCGGGUUGCUGGGCUGACACUGACGCUGAUGCGCGAAAGCCAGGGGAGCGAACGGGAUUAGAUACCCCGGUAGUCCUGGCCUUAAACGAUGGAUGCUUGGUGUCUGGAGUUUUAUAGUCUCCGGGUGCCGUAGCUAACGCGUUAAGCAUCCCGCCUGGGGAGUACGGUCGCAAGACUGAAACUCAAAGGAAUUGACGGGGGCCCGCACAAGCGGUGGAGCAUGUGGUUCAAUUCGACGCAACGCGAAGAACCUUACCCUGGGCUUGAACAGCCUAUGACCAGCUCCAGAGAUGGGCCUUUCCUCAGGGAAACCUACGUAGUGCAGGUGCUGCAUGGCUGUCGUCAGCUCGUGUCGUGAGAUGUUGGGUUAAGUCCCGCAACGAGCGCAACCCUUGUAUUGCUAGUUGCCAUCACGUAUGGUUCGGGCACUCUGCAGGACUGCCGUGACAAACCGGAGGAAGGUGGGGAUGACGUCAAGUCAUCAUGGCCCUUAUGUCCAUGGGCUACACACGUGCUACAAUGGUCAAGGUACAAAGCGUUGCCAAACUCGCGAGAGUGGAGCUAAUCGCACAAAAGCCUGAUCGUCAGUCCGGAUCGCAGUCUGCAACUCGACUGCAUGAAGUCGGAAUCGCUAGUAAUCGCGAAUCAGAAUGUCGCGGUGAAUACGUUCCCGGGUCUUGUACACACCGCCCGUCACAUCCAUGGAAGUGGGUUGCACCAGAAGUAGCUAGGCUAACCUUCAAGGAGGGACGGUACCACGGUAUGAUUCAUGACUGGGGUG